AGAUCUCGGCGCGCCCCUGAGGAGUUUCUGUGGGAAGAUUUUCUGUUUUCCAGGUUUCCCAAGGGAAACGAAGAAAGGGAGGAGGAUAAUCAAUGACUGAACCUCUAAUAGAUGUUGGACGACGUUAAAAAAAAAAUGUAUCGGCCCUACCCUCGAGGAUUUGACAAAUUAGACUGACCAGAGUAAUAAGAGAUACAGGCAGAAGAGGAGACAUAGACACACACAGAGGAGAAGAUGAUGUGAAAAGGGAGGCAGAGAUCACAGUGGUGUGGCUACAAGCCAAGAAAUACCGAAGCCAUCAGAAGUUGGAAGAGCCACCAAGAGUGCUGAACAAUCAUCUGAGGACAUCAUUGGGUAUCACUGGCAAAGAGAAGAGAUGAAGAAAAGAUAAGAGAAAGAAAUGAAAGUGGAAGAGGGCAGAAAAAGAUAAACAAAAGUUAGGAGAGUUUUCAGGAGGAGAAAAUAAAGAGAAGACAGAGAAGGAAGUAUCUGGUAAGGAAACAAAUACAGAUGUAAUCCAGUUGGGAUACCAGGCUUUCAUUAGGAUAUUUUCUCUCUUUUU
rnacentral:lncRNA from 1 species